rnacentral:rRNA from 1 species
GGGUACGAUCAUAUCUGGACUAAUGCAGUGUAACAUCUGAACUUCACAGUUAAGUUUGUUUAGGCGUGAGUAGAAUUAAGCUAGGUUACCAGUUGAGAAGUCCUUGUAUUGCAUCUC